rnacentral:rRNA from 1 species
UACAGAGGGGGCAAGCGUUGCUCGGAAUCACUGGGCGUAAAGGGCGCGUAGGCGGGAUGGCAAGUCGGUCGUGAAAUCCUUCGGCUCAACCGAAGAACGUCGGCCGAUACUGCCGUUCUUGAGGGAUGCAGAGGAGAUUGGAAUUCCCGGUGUAGCGGUGAAAUGUGUAGAGAUCGGGAGGAACACCGGUGGCGAAGGCGGGUCUCUGGGCAUCUCCUGACGCUGAGGCGCGAAAGCGUGGGGAGCAAACGGG